rnacentral:rRNA from 1 species
GUGGGUAACACGUGGAUAACCUACCUAUAAGACUGGGAUAACUUCGGGAAACCGGAGCUAAUACCGGAUAACAUAUUGAACCGCAUGGUUCAAUAGUGAAAGGCGGCUUUGCUGUCACUUAUAGAUGGAUCCGCGCCGUAUUAGCUAGUUGGUAAGGUAACGGCUUACCAAGGCAACGAUACGUAGCCGACCUGAGAGGGUGAUCGGCCACACUGGAACUGAGACACGGUCCAG